GUUGGUCUCCCUGGUGGCGAUAGGUUGUGAACCCGGUCAGGUCCGGAAGGAAGCAGCCGUAGCAUCCGAUUCGGGUGCCAGGGUAAGGCUUUCGUG
rnacentral:SRP_RNA from 1 species